rnacentral:rRNA from 1 species
GUGGGGAAUAUUGGGCAAUGGGCGAAAGCCUGACCCAGCGACGCCGCGUGAAGGAAGAAGAUCUUCGGAUUGUAAACUUCUGUCAACAGGGACGAAGGAAGUGACGGUACCUGUGGAGGAAGCCACGGCUAACUACGUGCCAGCAGCCGCGGUAAUACGUAGGUGGCGAGCGUUAUCCGGAUUUACUGGGUGUAAAGGGUGUGUAGGCGGACGUACCAGUCAGAUGUGAAAAGCCACGGCUCAACCGUGGUCCUGCAUUUGAAACUGUACGCCUUGAGAGUGGGAGAGGUAAGCGGAAUUCCCGGUGUAGCGGUGAAAUGCGUAGAGAUCGGGAGGAACACCAGUGGCGAAGGCGGCUUACUGGACCACAACUGACGCUGAGACACGAAAGCGUGGGGAGCAAACAGG